GGUAGGUCGGCAACGACCACCCAGGGCCGGAAAGUUAUCCAAACUCGAUCAUUUAGAGGAAGUAAAAGUCGUAACAAGGUCUCCGUUGGUGAACCAGCGGAGGGAUCAUUGCUGGAACGCGCCCCAGGCGCACCCAGAAACCCUUUGUGAACUUAUACCUUUUGUUGCCUCGGCGCAUGCUGGCCUCUAGUAGGCCCCUCACCCCGGUGAGGAGAAGGCACGCCGGCGGCCAAGUUAACUCUUGUUUUUACACUGAAACUCUGAGAAAAAACACAAAUGAAUCAAAACUUUCAACAACGGAUCUCUUGGUUCUGGCAUCGAUGAAGAACGCAGCGAAAUGCGAUAAGUAAUGUGAAUUGCAGAAUUCAGUGAAUCAUCGAAUCUUUGAACGCACAUUGCGCCCUCUGGUAUUCCGGAGGGCAUGCCUGUUCGAGCGUCAUUUCAACCCUCAAGCAUUGCUUGGUGUUGGGGCACUGCUUUUAACGAAGCAGGCCCUGAAAUCUAGUGGCGAGCUCGCCAGGACCCCGAGCGCAGUAGUUAAACCCUCGCUUUGGAAGGCCCUGGCGGUGCCCUGCCGUUAAACCCCCAACUCUUGAAAAUUUGACCUCGGAUCAGGUAGGAAUACCCGCUGAACUUAAGCAUAUCAAUAAGCGGAGGAAAAGAAACCAACAGGGAUUGCCCUAGUAACGGCGAGUGAAGCGGCAACAGCUCAAAUUUGAAAUCUGGCCUCGGCCCGAGUUGUAAUUUGCAGAGGAUGCUUCUGGCGCGGUGCCUUCCGAGUUCCCUGGAACGGGACGCCACAGAGGGUGAGAGCCCCGUAUGGUCGGACACCAAGCCUGUGUGAAGCUCCUUCGACGAGUCGAGUAGUUUGGGAAUGCUGCUCUAAAUGGGAGGUAAAUCUCUUCUAAAGCUAAAUACCGGCCAGAGACCGAUAGCGCACAAGUAGAGUGAUCGAAAGAUGAAAAGCACCUUGAAAAGGGGGUUAAAUAGUACGUGAAAUUGUUGAAAGGGAAGCACUUGUGACCAGACUUGGGCCGGGCGGCUCAUCAGGGGUUCUCCCCUGUGCACUCCGCCCGGCACAGGCCAGCAUCGGUUCUCGUGGGGGGAUAAGACCGUCAGGAACGUAGCACCCUCCGGGGUGUGUUAUAGCCUGGCGGACGAUACCCCCGUGGGGACCGAGGUUCGCGCUCCGCAAGGAUGCUGGCGUAAUGGUCACCAGUGACCCGUCUUGAAACACGGACCAAGGAGUCGUCCAUUAGAGCGAGCGUUUGGGUGUAAAACCCGCACGCGUAAUGAAAGUGAACGCAGGUGAGAGCUUCGGCGCAUCAUCGACCGAUCCUGAUGUUCUCGGAAGGAUUUGAGUAAGAGUUUUAACGGACGGACCCGAAAGACAGUGAACUAUGCUUGUAUAGGGUGAAGCCAGAGGAAACUCUGGUGGAGGCUCGCAGCGGUUCUGACGUGCAAAUCGAUCGUCAAAUAUGAGCAUGGGGGCGAAAGACUAAUCGAACUGUCUAGUAGCUGGUUACCGCCGAAGUUUCCCUCAGGAUAGCAGUGUUGAUCUUCAGUUUUAUGAGGUAAAGCGAAUGAUUAGGGACUCGGGGGCGCUAUAUAGCCUUCAUCCAUUCUCAAACUUUAAAUAUGUAAGAAGCCCUUGUU
rnacentral:rRNA from 1 species